AGCGAACGCUGGCGGCAGGCUUAACACAUGCCAGUCGAGCGGGCAUCCUUGUGGUGUCAGCGGCAGACGGGUGAGUAACGCGUGGGAACGUGCCCUUCGGUUCGGAAUAACUCAGGGAAACUUGAGCUAAUACCGGAUACGUGCGAGAGCAGAAAGGUUUAUCUGCCGAAGGAUCGGCCCGCUUCUGAUUAGCUAGUUGGUGAGGUUAUGGCUCACCAAGGCGACGAUCAGUAGCUGGUCUGAGAGGAUGAUCAGCCACACUGGGACUGAGACACGGCCCAGACUCCUACGGGAGGCAGCAGUGGGGAAUAUUGGACAAUGGGGGCAACCCUGAUCCAGCCAUGCCGCGUGAGUGAUGACGGCCUUAGGGUUGUAAAGCUCUUUUCUCCGGGACGAUAAUGACGGUACCGGAGGAAUAAGCCCCGGCUAACUUCGUG
rnacentral:rRNA from 1 species